GCCAGUGUGGCAUAGUGGUUUGAGUAUUGAUUGGACUACAGUUCUGGAGAUCAGGGUUCAAAUCCCUGCUUAGCCA